CACAUUCUUAAAAGUACACAUAAUCUUUUAAAAUACUGCUGUGUUUAUCGUGAACAUUUUAUCUUGGUGGGAAUGAUAGCAGUAACCAACAAACAUAAAGACAAAGAAGCUGAAUUUGAAUUUCUCUAUGAAGAGUUCUGUUUUUACUGCUUUAACACCUGAUCCAUCUGGAAAAUUUUGGGUGUAAAGUGUGAGGCACGGCUCCAAACUUCUUUCCAGACAAUGACUUACUGGCCCUCAACUGAUCUUAUUUGUGAAGUGAACAAUGCAUCAUGGAAGUAACUGUACCAGAAAACCUGGGCAAAGGUGUGCUGUUUAAGCAGUUCUGAGCUUUACAUCAAAAGGGAAUGAGCUGAUAAACUACAUGGCUCCUAUAACCUAUUUAUGGAAACAAAAUUUAGUGGGUUAGAAUCAACUCGAAGCAGCAGGUUCUGUUAUAUGAAGAGUAACUGAGACUGUGGGGCGGCGCUCUGAAGAUCAGGGAUGAUGGGUGUCCAUCUCCAGGCUUGCCGAAGGAAGACAUUUUUUGGUUCAGUCCACACUGCUAGCCUGCUCUCAGCAGGAGACUUAACGAGGGAGGAUUCCAACCAACGACAUCCCUAAGGAAACAAUCCCCAUACACUAAAAAGAUGCAUAAAAUGCACAUUUCAAAUAUAAACCCCAAUAAAAUUACAG